AAUUUCAAGGGUUCUCCAUAGCUAGGGUUUGUUUCAAGCUUCCAAGCUCCAUAAGCAAGGAAAACUGAAAUUCGGGCUAAAAUGGGGAAAAUACCAAGUUGUGGACGAAAUGGUAAAAGUAGCCAUUUUCGCAUACGAGGUAAGUUCAUGUGUAAAUAAUGUACCAUAAUUGUUAUUUUUAAGUUAUUGAUGUUAAUUAUAUGAUAUGCUGAUUUUUUUUUAUCGUGAAAUAUUAUGCUUUGUGGUUAAUGUUGAGUAAUAUACAAAUUAUGUUUACUACUUGAUAAAUAUCAAUUGCUACCGAGUAUCGGUUCCGUUAUUUCGUGGAAGACGGCAAAGAUGUGAGAUCGAGGAAAAAAUCCCGUUUGAACCUUAGGAAUAGAUUAGGAUACAAGUGCCAUGUCACUAGGAUGGUUGAGCAUCCGAACUCGUUGAGUUGAGUCUGAGUUCACUUAUGGAUGCGAAUGUCCGAACUCGUUGAGUUGAGUCCGAGUUCGAGAGAUGUAAAUAGGCAUCCGAGCUCGUUGAGUUGAGUCUGAGUUCACUUAUGGAUGCGAACGCCCGAGCUCGUUGAGUUGAGUCCGAGUUCACUUAUGGGCGGGUUACAUGGUAGCUUGGCUACAAAUGUGGUACUUAUGUGCAAACUUUCCAUGUAUCCGAAUUAUAUUCCGAUGUGUUCAACGGGUAAAGUUCUACUAAAAUGGAGGAAUACUCAAGUUGAAAGGGGCGUAUUGGUAAGUGUUGUGAAAUGGAUACUUUGAACAGGUAUGUACUUAACCCUCGGGUUGAAAAAUCGAUAUAACAACAAUAUGGUAAGAUGAUAAAUGAAAAUGUGAUAUGAAUGUCUUGGUGAUGAUUAUGCAAAUGAUGUUUUAUGUUUGCUUAUAUGGUUAUGUUACUUGCUAUUUGCAUGUGAACUUAUUAAGCAUUUAUGCUUACUCCCUCCUUUUCAUUCCUUGUAGUUUUGACAAGCUAGCUCGGAAAUCGGGAACGGUCGGAGGCUCGCUCACACUAUCCGUAUACCAUCUUGGCAUAAUGGCUUGUAUAUUUUGAGUAUGGCAUGUAUAGCAUUAUAAUCAUUUUGUAUAUAUGGUCUUAUGAUAUGGUUAUUGAGUGGUAUGGAAAUGCUUGGUAAUGAUUAGCCAUUGGAAUGGCUAAUCAUGAUCAUAUUUGGUGUUAUGUAUGUCAAAUUGCUAGCUAAUCCAUGGAAACCAUGAAAUAGGUAAAAUUUAC
rnacentral:lncRNA from 1 species